ACCUCAUCCUUAUGUGUCCACACAAGAGAUCCGCUUCUUGGAUAUUACAGUGGAAAUAAGUGAUGGUCACAUAAACACUAUCCUACACUGGAAACCUACUGACCCGCUAUCCUUACCUACAUACCUCUAACUUCCAUCCAGGACACACCACACGAUCCAUUGUCUACAGCCAAGCCCUAAGAUACAACCAUAUUUGCUUCAAUCCCUCAGACAGAGACAAACACCUAUAAGAUCUUUUUAUCAAGCAUUCUUAAAACUACAAUAUACACCUAGGUAGAUGUCCGGGCUCAGGCUCUGGGACCCUGUUAGGGGGUGAGGAUCUUAAUGCCUGGGCUUCAGCCUGAGCCUGGAUGUCUAUCCUGAAAUUUUAUGACCUUGCAAGACCAAGUCUGCAGGUAUAGGCCAACCGUGGAUGUUUUAUUGAAGUGUAGACAUUCCUGGAGAGAGAAGGUGUUGCAGGUGGGAUGGCAGAUGCACUCAGACAUUGAAGGGAGUAAGAAGGCUCCUCCAGGGCCCUGAGUCAGAGGGGUAAAGACACCAGCAGGAAGGAGAUCUGUGGAGAAUGCAGAGAAUGUCAAACUCCAGGCAAGAAACACUGGGAGAGCAGGAAGACAGGGCCCAGUUUGAAAUUGUGGGAAGACUGGAGCUUUUGAAAGACUUUGUGCAGGAUUUAAUAAAUUGAUCCCCAGAAAUGGGGUUUGUUUUGAAUAUCUGGAUGGUGUGGGCUUUUUAAUGGACUCUAAGCAGAAGGGGAAGCUAAGGCAGGACACUGCAGAGCUACCUGUAGCCAGCAGGGGGCACUCCGGAGUGGCACACUCUUACGCAUGCUGAAUUGUGUUAAGGAGACUUGUAGGUUUGCCCUGCGUUCAUGCUAGCACUGUUCCACAAGUAACACUGGUGGCAUUGUGGGAGAUUUUGAAAGGCCACGGAUGUGGAACAGCAGUAGGAGGACUAGAUGAACUGUUCAGCCAGUGUGCCUGCACGCUAGCACUGAAAUACUUCAGGAUGAAAUGGUAUUUAGUUCUGCUGAAGUUUAGUCUACCCCAAAUGGCAUCUAACACAUUUUUAAACUAUCUGAAUUGCUUUUGUGUGUGGAUGUGUUUUAGCUGGAACAAAUGGUAUUUGACACAAUACACUUCUGUAGAUGAGGCCUUAGAAUGCCUUCUGUUCUUCUUUCUGUACUCUUUUUUUUUUUUUUUUUUUUUUUUAAUAUGUGUCUGACCCUGUCUUGUGUGUUUUGCCAGGCUCCCUGAUGUAAAGUAUUUUUUCGGAAAGGCCAAUGUACUGAAAGUCUCUUCUAAUUUAGACCAUAAUUAAAGGAGAAAGGGGCACUUAAAGGUAGCUUAUUGCCAAAAUCAAAGGCCUUUGGCAAACUUCAGCGCAUGAUUUGCUCUUCCCAAGAAUAUCAGAUAAAUCUAGGAUUAAAAGAUAUUCUAACAUUGCAUAAUAUGCAGUGAAAGAAACGAGAAUCACAUGUGUUUGUGAUAAGUAAGAGGUGUUUAAACUCUGUAUCCAGGUCUUUGCAUUUUAUUUAGGUGAUUUUAAAACUUUGGCAGAGAUCCUCUACUCUUACUGCUGAACUAUAAAAUAGAAUUGUUCUGCAGUAACAAAAGCAUUCUCUGUGGAACUUGAAUCUGUAGACUCUAUAUAUAAACAAGUGUGUGGUAAUGGAAAAAAUGGACUAUAAUCAUGAUGGACUUUCUCUUUGGUAUUAGUCGCAUAAAACAGAAGCAUGUGUCUGUGCCAGAAAUGAAACCUUAUUUUCUGCCAAGCUCUCUGAUUCUUAACUUAAACUAUAGGAUGUUAGACUCCAGUGUGAAUCCUUUCUAUUAAUUAGAAGGGAGGAAAACACACCAGUUUAACUAACUAUAUUUUUUAAAAUGUAUCUGAUUUAAACUAAUGGAAUCCCUUAAUUUAAAGAGACCAAUUUUAAGACUUACCAAUUUAAACUAGUUGCUUAAUCAAUUUAUUUUAAAUGUGUAUACGUCUAGGUGUUUACACCAGUUUAACUAGAUUUUAAAAUAGAUUAACUAAAUCUAGUUAAACUGGUGCAUUUUUUUUUAGUAUGGUCCUGGACAAGGAAAAGGAGGGGAUGAAGAUCUAAGGACAAGAGACUUCAUAAAUUAGCUUCCCUCUUGUACUUAUCUCAGAGAAAACUUAUGUAGGUUUCACCAAACACCAAAGCUUUGUCAAUGAAGAUGUGAGAUCAGCACAUUGUGGUGUGGUGUUUGGGGCAGAACAAAUAACUUCCCUUAGCAUUCAUAUUGGGUGCUGGAACCCACUGAUAUGUAUGUAAGAAUAUGGAUCUGAUCACAUUUGAUGAAUCUGCACACCUCUUAAGUGUCUACUUUUUUAUAGUAUUUUAAAGACCGACUACAGGAAUCUCAUGGCAAUCCCAAUCGAGGACACAGCGAAGAUUGGGAAUAGUUGCAAUUUCAUCUCCUGAUGAUGUGUUUCUAGAUGUAGAUAAAUGUAAAAAUAAAAUGGUAACAAUGCUUUUAAUCUAAAUCUAAAUUUUAAUAGCUUACCACAGAAGCAACACCCAUGCUAAGGCCCUUUUUCAGUCUGUGGGAAUUGUACAACUAUACCUGGAAAAUGUAUAGUUGGCUCUGUCCCAUCAUUUAAAAAAAAAAAAAUUGAGUCCUAGUGUAAACAUUUGUAACCAUUUCAGAGGGAACAUCAUUAUCCAGAUGGACAAUUUACAUCCCAACUUCCUGCCCUGUAUCUCCAUUGUCUAGGCAAAACUUCACAAGUCCUUAGUGUAUUUGCCAGUAAUUUUCCCUUCGAGAUUAAAAUGUCUGUUGGUCAGAACUUGGAUAAAAUCCGAGCCAGUACCCUCGGUUUUAUCCAAGUCCUGCAGGAAAAAUUAUUUAAUCAGAAUAAUUACAAAUGUAAGAGUUCUACUAACGGAACAGUCUGUUUGAUAUGACUUAAAAGUAUUUGGCCUCAAUUCAGCAAAGUACUUAAAUCUUAUGACCCAUUGUACUCGAUCAACUUUUGCUUAAGCAUGUUACUGAAUCUGGGGGUCCUUGUGAGGAUUUUAUAGAUUGCUGUAGCUGUUUUGCGGUAAGCAGUAUCAGUAAACAUGCAAAGAAAGGGAGGUUGUUUUUGAUGGAAGAAAGAAACUGCUAAGUAGAUUUGGGAUAAUUAAGAACAGCUAGUUCUCAGGAAGAAAAACUUGGCUUUGUUAUGGUAAUUGUUAAACUGCAGACAACACUUGGCUCCUGCCAUGAAGAGCAACUGAACUAGGUUCCUGAUUAGAGCUAGGUGAAAUUUUUUUUGGACAAAACUCUUUUUGAGGAAGAAAAUGGAGGUUCAGCAACACUGAAAUGUGUUGCAAAUUCAUGUCUGCUUUGCCUAAUUGUUCAUGCUGGGAGCGGUGGAAGAAAGCAAAAUUCUAAAAAGUCAAAAUGCUUUCUUUCAACUUUUUUGAAAUGAAAUAUUUCAAUUUACUGUUCCAAAUGACUUUUCAUUUAGAAAUUUCCUUCAGUUUUAUUUUUAAAAUGUUCAAAAAUGUUAAGCUUGAAAUUGAAACAAAUUGUUUUGUUCAACUCAAAAUUGAUGUAUUGGUUAUUUUUAUUUUUUUUUUAAUUGUCAGUGAACGAUAAUAUGUGUUCCUGAUGUCAGGCACAGGGACAACUCUUCAUGCAAAAAAACUGCAGACAGACUGGAUUUAAUAUCUGCGUUGUGCAUUCCCUUUGAAUAUUUGGUAUAGAUUAUUCUUAAAUCUGUGCCCGUGCACAUACAUCGUACAUUGAUGUAUACAUGUUUGGUACUGAUUAGACUCUAGUUUUAGGUAACUUUUUUCUUUCAACUCGAAUGUACAGCAUACAUUUAUUUUAUGAAUCCGCUAAUAAGAAACUCUGUUAUCUGUACUAAACAGUGCAAUUAGACUGGCUCUAAUUGAGCAAUGUAAUUCUUUGUUCAGGUAAUACAAUAUACAUUGAAUCAGCCAUUCUAGAAAAAUCUUUCCUAAAAUAAGAAACCAGUGAGCUUAAUCCUCCUCCUUUUUAACUAAAUUUUAAAAUAUCACUAGUGGCCUGUUCCAGUCUGUGAAAUCUAUUUCACAGAAGAAGUGACUCCCAUAUGACCAAAACAAAAUAGUAUUUGUCCUCUUAAUGUAAAAAUCAAAUGUGACAAAUGAUUUUUAGCUUUAUCUGUAGAUUCACAGAUUUUUAAGACUAGAACGGAGUAUUGUGAUCGUCUAGUUUGGCUUUCUACCAUAGAACUUCCCUGAAUUAAUUCCUGUUUGAACUAGAGCAUAUUUUUAGAAAAACAUCUAAUCAAUAAAAAUAAAUCCAAUCAAAAUCCAGUACACUUCUGUUGGGUUAAAUUCUGCUUAUCCACCUGCAAGCCCACUGAUUUCUGAGAGAUUGCACAGAUGUUGCUGGGUAGAAACUUGCCUUUUUGUUAUGUAUUGUGCUGUCACCAAAGACGACAAUAGUUGAGGCUUCUUGGGCUAUCCUAAAAUUGAGCGUCGCAACAUUGUGCAUUGUUCUUAACACCCUAUGAAGUGCAACGGUAUUAGUGCUGAAUGAAUAAUUCGCAGUGAACAUGUUUUACUAAUUAAUUUAGUCUUUCUAUUUGUGGAAUCUGUAUAAGCAAGUCGCAAUGUCUUUUACUCUUUUAUUUUCCAAAUUUUUCAUUUCAGUUUUCACUGAUUCUGAAUAUUCUAUUUUAGCUGUUUCUUAGCUGCAGUUUCACAGUUUUGCAGUUUCUGUGUUGGGUGAGCAUGCAAGCAAAUACUAAAAUUAGCAUCGAAAUCUACUUUCACAGGUAACUCUGCUGGUUGGCAGGAUCACUGAAAUGUUCAUGGAAUUAAUGCAAAAAAGUGUGCACAUUUUUAAUAAAUAUUUCAAAGUAUCCCCCUCUCAACCUAAUGACUACCUUAGGCUGCAAGCAAGAACCACGUCAUCUUAUGUUUGUAGAGCUCCUAGCACAAUGAGGCCUCAGUCUUGAUUGGAGCAUCUAGGCACUAUUGUCUCAUAAAUAUUUUUGAUGAUAAAGUGGGUAUGAUCAUGGGUGAAAUGAAUUAAUUUUAGAAGUCAACCAGUAUUUGUGUAAAAUAUAUUAUUUACCCAACUAUAAUUCAUUGAUAAACUGUCAUAUGAGUAGAUUAAGCCUACACAGGAUUUUUGUUUGCUGUAUAAUAUUGAUGGAUUUAAAUCACAAAUACAGUUUUUGGUAACCCUCAAUUUAUUUAGGCCAUGUCUACACUAGAGACCUUACAGCAGCACAGUUGUACUGCUGCAACUGCUCCGCUGUAAGGUCUCCAGUAUCUCCAGAGCUCUCCCCUUGGCGUAAUUAAACUACCCCCAACGAGUGGCAGUAGCUAUGUUGGUGGGAGAGCAUCUCCCGCUGACACAGCACUGUCCACACCAGCGUGUCUCUCGGUGUAACUUAUGUCUGUCAGGGUGCGUGAGCGACAUAUGUUUUACUGACAAAAGUGCUAGUGUAGACAUAGCCUUAGAAACUCCAGAUUCCCAUGAUCAUAGGCUCAGUAAUCAGGAAAUCUUCUGCUCCUGGGACGUCAGUUGUACUGGAAUGCAAGCAAUGCAGCUGAUGACUAAUCUAUAAAAUACAAGAGUAGCCACAACAAAUAGCUUAUGUAAUAACAUGUAUAGUAUGUACUUAGUACUUGUAGUGUGGAGAACUGCUGCAGUGACCCCUACUGGGAGGAAGGGUCAAACUGGCCGGCCAUGAAUUCCCUUGUUCUAAAAUUAGCUAAGAAGACUGUGUGUGUGUGUGUGUGUGUGUGAGAGAGAGAGCAGCUAAACUUUUUUAUUCUUU